ACAGGGUAUUUUUAUAUGUAUAUAUGUAUAUGUGCAGGUUUUAUAUUUUGCUUUAUGUACGUAUUCUCCUGCUUAUAGUUGCAUGGCUAGACAUGAUGGAUGUAUGUAUGUAUGUAUGUUAACAAUCAGCUUCUUA